UGUGGGGUGCUCGAGUGGCGAACGGGUGAGUAACACGUGAGUAACCUGCCCUUGACUUUGGGAUAACUUCAGGAAACUGGGGCUAAUACCGGAUAGGAGCUCCUGCUGCAUGGUGGGGGUUGGAAAGUUUCGGCGGUUGGGGAUGGACUCGCGGCUUAUCAGCUUGUUGGUGGGGUAGUGGCUUACCAAGGCUUUGACGGGUAGCCGGCCUGAGAGGGUGACCGGCCACAUUGGGACUGAGAUACGGCCCAG
rnacentral:rRNA from 1 species